UUCUGUCCAUAAAUGUUUGGGGUGAUGUGGGUAGUCUAGGGGGUGUGAGUAAGCAUUCUAAAUCAGGAGAGGCAAUGAUAGGCUUAGAGGGAGUAUUUCCAACUCUCACUGAAGAAUUAGAGGAGAGUGAGAGGUUUUGGAAAGGGAAAAGUAGGAAAUCGGAAGAGGGAAGCUGAGAGGGUGCUGGUGUGUUCUUCAAUUGGUACAAAAGGCCUGGGAGUGACUACGGACACUUCAGAGGCUUAGAGAGGUAUUAUAGUUAGCUGGACAAGAGGUACCAUUAUGGAAGAACAUGAGGAUGACCUGUCUCUAAAUGAAUAGUCAUAUCAUAUGUGUGCUGGUUUCCUAGUUGUGCUUAAAAUAAAGCGUCCUAGUAUCUGAAGAGUGUGUUGUAAGAGUUGAUGUUAUACCCACCCUUAAUUUAGAUUGUAUUUUCACUAAGUUUGAUUUUAUCUUGUUUUUAAGAUUGUUUUUGGGUCUUAAUAGGUGUGCCAAGGGGCCCACCUUUGUUUGUUGUCCCCCCGAGUCCAAGCCCUUCAUCUCUCUCUCUCGGUCUCUCUUUCCCUCCCUCACUCUCUCUUCCUUUUUCCUCUUUUUCCCUCGAGGCUCUCUCUCUCUAUUCUCUCCUCUUCCCGUCGAAUACGCACACACACUCAGUCACCAACCACAACCCGUACCACCUGAGCGUGGUGACGUUGAAAUCAGGACCUGAAGGAGUGAUACUCCAACAGUGGCAGUGCCACUGUGCAUCUUCGUCCCUAAACAAACUCCGGCGAGUUUGAUAUGGGAAGAAACACAUCGGGGAGACUUCCCCGGAUUCCUGGGAGGAAUCCGUCACUUUCGAGGCACUUUUUGGCCAAACCAUGGUGAGUUGGCCGGCGUAAAAGUGGUUUCGAGGAGUUUUCUGGCCAAACAACGGUGAGUUAGACGUCAUGUGAGGGGCAAUUAUAGUGGCAUUUCUGUCUUCGCUAGUUGCGUGGCUCUUCGGCGGCGAAGUACUGACGAAGGGAUAGAUUCAGGUCCGUCCUGAGUGACGGUUUGGUGUUGGCAUAUGGCAUGGAGUGUGUUUGCUCUGGCUAUUUAGCACAGGGACGGGGAGCCAGCAUGGGGCCUGAAGUGUAUUUUCCUCUGACUGUCUGCUCAGAGACGGGGAGCCGGCAUGGAGCCUGAGAGUUAUCGGACAAUUCACUAGUGAUUAUUAUAUAUACAAGAUUUAGAAUCGAGGUAUACAAUCCCGACGUCCAGGCAUUUCCGCAUCGGCAUCUUCGAGUCCUCUCGGCAUGGAUACUAUGGAUUCAAGAUAAACCACUAGAACUGAUCGAUAAGACGUUUUGUGAUUCGUGCAACAUAUCUGAAGUGAUAAGGUGUCUUCAUGUGCGGCUGUUAUGUGUGCAAAGAGUACCUGAGGAUAGACCAAGCAUGUCAUCUGUGGUUCUGAUGUUGAGCAGUGAUGUUGCCUUGCCACCUCCAAAGCAGCAUGGUUUCUACACUGAACGAAGUGUCCCUGAAUCACCAUCAAGGACGCUUCUAUGUUCAGAGAAUACUUUCAGCACUACGUUGAUAGAACCUCGGUAGAUCAUCAUUGCGGUGCUUGUUAUUCCUUCAAUCUACCAUCACAAAAUGUUUUUGGUAGGUUGACGUGAAGCUUAUAGCCUUGGCUGGGAAACAAUGAGACCUGCGACUGUAACUCUGCAAGAAAAAUAUUUAUGAUUACCAGUUUAUCAGUUCCUAAAUCAGAACAAAGAAAGGACUUGGGGUUGUUAGGUGGUUGAAGAAAUUUAAGUUAUAGCUAUAGUUGUGUUUAUUAUUUUUUGAUUUUAUUUUAUUAUUUCAUGAUAAGAUAAAAUUUAUUGAGAA